GUAAUGGCGGCUCGAGUAAGACAUUCUCAGAGGUCUACCGAUCCACUACUACGUCCCUGGAUCGUAUUACAAAAAAAGAUGGCUGCGUUCUCUCCGGUCAUUGUACUUGUAUGGCCGGUCUUGGAGAAGAGUGUUCACAUGUUGCUGCCCUUCUUUUUGCAGUCGAGGCUGCAGUAAAAUUACAAGUUAGCAAGACAGUUAUAGAAGAAAAGUCUUACUGGUUACCGCCCUCUGCAGUUAAAAAUAGAAAUUCUUAUGUGGGUGAGGACCAAGCAUCAGGCAUCUAUACUUAGAAAGUCAUCAGUGGGCCUUCACUUGUCAGAAAUCCAGUGUGAUGGCUUCCAUCCUAACCCACCAACGAACUUCGAGGUUGGUCAAACCAGGUGUUGGGGAGUUCUCACUUUACAACAAUUCCAACAUUUGGAGUUCCCAAACAGCAAUAAUGAACAAGUUCACUCCACUUCCAGUCUGCAAGCCAACCAAAAAAAUUAUAGGUAUGGAAUUGUUCUUUUUUUUCUUAUUGAUUUGCAUUUGAGGCGGCACGGGGGCUCAACUUGUUACAAGGUCACAGUUCUGAGCACCAGGGUUCUAACCCUGGCCACACCUGUGUGGAGUCUGCAUGUUCGCCCCAUGGCUGUGUGGGUUUUCUCCGGGCACUCCGUUUUUUUUCCCACAUCCCAAAAAGAUGCAUCACUUGGAGACUCUAAAUUCCCCUUAGGUGUAAUUGUGAGUACGAAUAGUUCUUCCUAUCUCUGUGCCCUGCGAUUGGCUGGCAGUCAGUUCAAGGUCCACCCCGCCUCCUGUCCAAAGAUAGCUGGGAUAGGCUCCAGCAUUGCCACGACUCUUGUGAGCAUAAGCAGCUCAGCAAAUGGAUGGAUUUGCACUUGGUUACUGUCAUGAUGACUUGACUGCUAUGCUAGCAUAGGUGGAUGAUCGACUGGCAAUUUGUGACUUGUGUACCAGUUGGAUUGCAUCGCCACCCUAAGAAUGUAACUCUGUUGUAAACUGAGGAUAGCCUGAACACGUACAGCAAUAUUCAGUACAGAUUCAAGCUUAAUUCAUCCUUUCCAAUCAAAGCCAGCAAUGGCCUGAUUGUCUAUAAAACGGUGAUGGAUGGAUGGAAUCCCCAACUGGUAUGCAGGCUCCAUCUCGUGGUAUCCAAAAGAGUCGAGAAUAAGAAAGAAAUCCAAGUACA